rnacentral:rRNA from 1 species
UACGGGGGGGUGCGAGCGUUGUCCGGAAUCACUGGGCGUAAAGGGCGCGUAGGUGGUUUGAUAAGGGUGUGGUGAAAGUCCGGGGCUCAACCCCGGAUCUGCCGUGCCGACUGUCAAACUCGAGGACUGUAGAGGCAGACGGAAUUCCGGGUGUAGCGGUGGAAUGCGUAGAGAUCCGGAGGAAGACCGGUGGCGAAGGCGGUCUGCUGGGCAGUUUCUGACACUGAGGCGCGACAGCGUGGGGAGCAACAGGG